ACAGUACAACUCCUACGGGAGGCAGCAGUGGAUAUGAUAUGCAUGAGGGGACUACCUGAACCAGCCAUCCCGCGUGUAGGAAGACGGCCUUAUGGGUUGUAAACUACUUUUAUACAGGAAGAAACGUACCCUCGUGAGGGUGCCUGACGGUACUGUAGGAAUAAGCACCGGCUAACUCCGUGCCAGCAGCCGCGGUAAUACGGAGGGUGCGAGCGUUAUCCGGAUUUAUUGGGUUUAAAGGGUCCGUAGGCGGAUUAAUAAGUCAGUGGUGAAAUCCCAUCGCUUAACGAUGGAACUGCCAUUGAUACUGUUAGUCUUGAAUGAGGGUGCAGUGGUUGGAAUGUGUAGUGUAGCGGUGAAAUGCAUAGAUAUUACACAGAACACCGAUUGCGAAGGCAGAUCACUAACCCUAAAUUGACGCUGAGGGACGAAAGCGUGGGGAGCGAACAGGAUUAGAUACCAUGGUAG
rnacentral:rRNA from 1 species